GGCGUUAUUAGCAGGCAUCUUCACUUUCCUAUGCCUGCAGUGCUCUCUACAAAGAUGAGGAGGUCCUGACCUUGGGGAAUGUUUGUACCUGGUGAGCAACUGAGAUGGAAGCCUGGGGACAGAAAGUGCCCAAUCCCGCUCAGAGCAAAGGCAGCAGAGCUCUUUUCUUUGGGGUGAUUGAGGAUCCCCACAAGGAGAAGUCAUCCCACCUGGGUCCUUUGAGAAGAGAAUCUUAGGCAGAGGGAGUAACUUAAACAGAGACAGCUCAGAGAGGCAUAGCCAGGGUGUGGUGAGAGACUACCCUCAGCCAGGCUGUGGGCAGCUGAGCCUGGGAGCAGUGGGGGUUGGAAGACCUUGACCAUGCUGGGAGAUCAAUCUUGACUACCAGAGCCUUUGGAGCAUGCUGUCUGCUUUUGCCACAAAAAGAAAAAGAAACUGAAGUUAUGGAAAAAGUAAGCUUCAGAACUGCAAACGGAGACCAUCAGAGAAAACCACAGCUGGACGCGAUGCAGAGAUAAACAAUCAUGAAGAGCCCAGCCCCAGCCAGUGCAUCUACAUAAUAGCUCCUGCAUCUGUGGCUCAGGGGACACCACAGAAGAGUCUGAAAGACUAAGAGCCAACACACUAUCAGGUCUUCUGUAAACCAGUCUCUCCUAGAAAUGGUAACACAAAGAAGCCCAGAACCAUGAAUAGACGUGGAGUCCCAACCCCAGAAAGUAUCUACAGGUUGCCCAAUGCGUAGUGGCCAGCCUUAAAAGCAUAUAGAUACAAGCAACAAAAAUGAACUCAGCAGGUUUUAUCUAUAAAUAUUUGUUAUUGUAUGUAACUAUAACAAUCAAAGGGGGGAUAAGCCAUCAACUUGAAAGGAUAUGGGGGAGGUAUGCAUAGGAGAGGUUUGAGAGAGGGUAGCCAGUAGGAAGGAGGAAAAGGGGGCCAAAAUGAUGUCCUUCUAUUUCAAUUAAAAGCAUAUUUAAAUAUAUAUUCUUUUAAACAUGUAUAUACUUUGAAGAGAUAUGAGUACUCACUCACUCUCUCACUCUCUCCUGUUCUCUUACACCUAAUUGUACAGUACCACAAUUUUUUUUUUUUCAUAUCUUGGUUGACUGGGACCUUGAAAUGUGAACUCAAGGAUAAGGGAAAUAACUUUAGGAAUUGUGUGUGUGUGUGUGUGUGUGUGUGUGUGUCUGUCUGUCUGUCUGUCUACCAUUUAAAGAUACCAUCCAAGGUGAGACUCAUUUCCAGAAGCUGUUAUGGAUAUUAAGUCCAAUAACCUAAGCAGCAAGAGUGGAACAGAGCGCGGCCAUGCUCCUGAGUGCUCUCAGAGACCAGGCAGGAGCGAUUUCACACUUCACCAAUUUCAUGCUGGGAGGGGGGAUCCCCAUUAUUAUAAGAGGUGAAAGUUGCCAGUUUUGUAAGGAGAUCCUGUGGCCUGUGAGAAUGACCUGGAGCAGAAACCACAGAGCUGACAAUCAAAGGCACGAGCAAGCUCUGUUUAACAUUUCUAAGCUGAUUUCCCCCUUACUGCUAAAAUGCCAGAAAUACUUAUUUUGCAAGUCUACACACUAAUGUGAGGAAAUCAAGAUGGCCAGCUCUUGGAAGAUGCUUUCAACCUCAAGUUCUCCACAGAGCCAUUGCAAGAAAAUGUGGAAGAUGGGUUACCGAACAGACGCCUGGCACCGUAACACCACAGAAGUGAGAAAACUGCUAUUGUAGCAUGCACCCUAGUCUUAAGCAGCGCAUUGCUCUAUCAAUAAUGGAAAA